rnacentral:rRNA from 1 species
CCCCAGACUCCUACGGGAGGCAGCAGUGGGGGAUAUUGCACAAUGGGGGGAACCCUGAUGCAGCGACGCCGCGUGGGUGAAGGAGUAUUUCGGUAUGUAAAGCCCUAUCGGCAGGGAAGAAGCAAGACGGUACCUGGCUAAGAAGCCCCGGCUAACUACGUGCCAGCAGCCGCGGUAAUACGUAGGGGGCGAGCGUUAUCCGGAUUCACUGGGUGUAAGGGGAGCGUAGACGGCCAAGCAAGCCAGGGGUGAAAGCCCGGGGCCCAACCCCGGGACUGCCCUUGGAACUGCUUGGCUGGAGUGCGGGAGGGGCAGGCGGAAUUCCUGGUGUAGCGGUGAAAUGCGUAGAUAUCAGGAGGAACACCGGUGGCGAAGGCGGCCUGCUGGACGACGACUGACGUUGAGGCUCGAGAGCGUGGGGAGCGAACAGGAUUAGAUACCCGGGUAGG